GAUGAACGCUGGCGGCGUGCCUAAUACAUGCAAGUCGAGCGAAUGGAUUAAGAGCUUGCUCUUAUGAAGUUAGCGGCGGACGGGUGAGUAACACGUGGGUAACCUGCCCAUAAGACUGGGAUAACUCCGGGAAACCGGGGCUAAUACCGGAUAGCAUUUUGAACCGCAUGGUUCGAAAUUGAAAGGCGGCUUCGGCUGUCACUUAUGGAUGGACCCGCGUCGCAUUAGCUAGUUGGUGAGGUAACGGCUCACCAAGGCAACGAUGCGUAGCCGACCUGGGAGGGUGAUCGGCCACACUGGGACUGCGACACGGCCCUGACUCCUUAGGGAGGCAGCGGAAGGGAAUCUUCCGCAAUGGACGAAAGUCUGACGGAGCUACGCCGCGUGAGUGAUGAAGGCUUUCGGGUCGUAAAACUCUGUUGUUAGGGAAGAACAAGUGCUAGUUGAAUAAGCUGGCACCUUGACGGUACCUAACCAGAAAGCCACGGCUAACUACGUGCCAGCAGCCGCGGUAA
rnacentral:rRNA from 1 species